rnacentral:lncRNA from 1 species
GCCGUCGCUUCGGCUCCCAAAGUGUAGAAAAUCGUCAUCAAUCGUGUAAGUUAUGUCUACACUGAUUUAAAAUUAAAAAUAGAUACAUUAGGCAGUUUCCAAUGUCUCCCUAAAUUCUUGAUGAGAGUCGCUUCUUUCUCCUGUAAAUUAUGUCUACUCUGUUAGUUGUUACCUUUUAUUCUGAUAUUUACCAUUUAUUAUUAUUGUUUUUCUAUCUUCUCGUCCUCUCUUUUAGUCUGUGUUCCUUUCCAUUUUUUUUCCUGACAUUUCUUUUUGUACUUUGGUGUAAGCGCAUGCCAAAAUAACAUACUUACUAUUUAACAGGAUAUUGAAAUCCCGUUCUUCAUCGGAUUGUGAUUUCAGGUAUGAGUUUCACCUCUUAUUUUACUGUUUGGUUUCUGAUUGAAGAAAAUCGACAGAAAUUUGUUUCAAACUUGAAAUUAAUCUUUGUUUUUGUAAAUAAUUACUGAUCCACCUUUGAAUUGGCAAAUUUUGUUCAUCCUGCAUUUUCCCGGAAGCCAAACAGGAGAGUUCAAUGUUCUUUAUUUCGAAAAUUUUGUACUCUUACUGUAAUAUUGAACAAAUUUUAGUUGAUCCCUUGAUAGAAGCUUCGAAUUGCCUUCUGUAUCUGUUAAUUUCCCAAAAACAAUUUUAUUGAUUUAAAGAAUGUUUUAAUCACAAUAAAUGUUACCGUUGACAUCUUAAUCACCAUAAAUGUUACCGUUGACACCAAUCUAAUUUUAUAUAUAUAUUAAUUCGUUAUCCUAACCUGCUUUUAUGUUAUUUGAAAACUAUGCUUUGGAUUUUUCCGUUUUGUCGUUAAGAAUUUUCCGUCCUGUCAGAUUUUUAAGUGUUCUGCUGUAGUUAAUUUUGUGUCUUAUUCUACUCCAGGUUUAUCCCUCUCAUAUUCCGUCUCGGAAUAAGGUAUUGCAAGGAUAUACUACCAGUUCUUAUUCCGGUUUUAGAGAUUUUGGCCCCCGGUUUAAGUGAUUUAGUGGCCGGUUCAGCUUUUUUUUCCUGUCUGAACCGGUCUACCUGUCAUGCUUAUUCCGGCCGGGGAUAUCCCAUUCUAGGGAUAUCCCGGUUCAGUAUUACCCGAGGGAUAUACCAUUCCAGGGAUAUCCCGGUUCAGGUUUUUUGGGGACCCGGUUCGAUUUUUUAAGGACCCCGGUUCGGUUUUUAUGACCCCGGUUCGGUUUUUUUGUACCCCGGUUCGGUUUUUUUACCCCGGUUCGAUUUUUUUAUGACCCCGGUUCGGUGUGAGUUGGUAAAUUCUGUUCAUCCUGCAUUUUCCCCGAAGUCAAACAGGAGACUUAAAUGUUUUUAAUAU